rnacentral:rRNA from 1 species
CCUACGGGAGGCAGCAGUGAGGAAUAUUGGUCAAUGGGCGCGAGCCUGACCCAGCCAAGUCGCGUGAGGGAAGACGGUCCUAUGGAUUGUAAACCCCUUUUGUCGGGGAGCAAAAGACGCCACGCGUGGCGUUCCGAGAGUACCCGAAGAAAAAGCAUCGGCUAAAGCCGCUCCAGCAGCCGCGGUAAAACGGGGGAUGCGAGCGUUAUCCGGAUUUAUGGGGUUUAAAGGGUGCGCAGGGGGAAGAUCAAGUCAGCGGUAAAAUUGAGAGGCUCAACCUCUUCGAGCCGUUGAAACUGGUUGUCUUGAGUGAGCGAGAGGUAUGCGGAAUGCGUGGUGUAGCGGUGAAAUGCAUAGAUAUCACGCAGAACUCCGAUUGCGAAGGCAGCAUACCGGCGCUCAACUGACGCUCAUGCACGAAAGUGUGGGUAUCGAACAGGAUUAGAUACCCCAGUAGUC